GUGGGGAAUCUUCCGCAAUGGACGAAAGUCUGACGGAGCAACGCCGCGUGAGUGAUGAAGGUCUUCGGAUUGUAAAGCUCUGUUAAUCGGGACGAAAGAGCCUAGUGUGAAUAAUGCUAGGAAGUGACGGUACCGGAAUAGAAAGCCACGGCUAACUACGUGCCAGCAGUCGCGGUAAUACGUAGGUGGCAAGCGUUGUCCGGAAUUAUUGGGCGUAAAGCGCGCGUAGGCGGAUCUGCCAGUCUGUCUUAAAAGUUCGGGGCUUAACCCCGUGAUGGGAUGGAGACUACAGAUCUAGAGUAUCGGAGAGGAAAGUGGAAUUCCUAGUGUAGCGGUGAAAUGCGUAGAUAUUAGGAAGAACACCAGUGGCGAAGGCGACUUUCUGGACGAAAACUGACGCUGAGGCGCGAAAGCCGGGGGAGCGAACGGGAUUAGAAACCCUUGUAGUCC
rnacentral:rRNA from 1 species